rnacentral:rRNA from 1 species
CAUCGGUGACAGGUGGUGCAUGGUUGUCGUCAGCUCGUGUCGUGAGAUGUUGGGUUAAGUCCCGCAACGAGCGCAACCCUUACGGUUAGUUGCUACGCAAGAGCACUCUAGCCGGACUGCCGUUGACAAAACGGAGGAAGGUGGGGACGACGUCAAAUCAUCAUGCCCCUUAUGACUUGGGCUACACACGUACUACAAUGGCAGUCAUACAGAGGGAAGCAAAACCGCGAGGUGGAGCAAAUCCCUAAAAGCUGUCCCAGUUCAGAUUGCAGGCUGCAACUCGCCUGCAUGAAGUCGGAAUUGCUAGUAAUCGCGGAUCAGCAUGCCGCGGUGAAUACGUUCCCGGGCCUUGUACACACCGCCCGUCACACCAUGAGAGCCGGUAAUACCCGAAGUCCGUAGUCUAACCGCAAGGAGGACGCGGCCGAAGGUAGGACUGGUAAUUAGGGUGAAGUCGUAACAAGGUAGCCGUAUCGGAAGGUGCGGCUGGAUCACCUCCUUUCUAAGGAGA